CAGUAGCCGCGGGAAAACGUAGGGUGCAAGCGUUAAUCGGAAUUACUGGGCGUAAAGCGUGCGCAGGCGGUUUGUUAAGACAGAUGUGAAAUCCCCGGGCUCAACCUGGGAACUGCAUUUGUGACUGGCAAGCUAGAGUGUGGCAGAGGGGGGUGGAAUUCCGCGUGUAGCAGUGAAAUGCGCAGAUAUGCGGAGGAACACCGAUGGCGAAGGCAGCCCCCUGGGCCAACACUGACGCUCAUGCACGAAAGCGUGGGGAGCAAACAGGAUUAGAUACCCGCGUAGUCCCUGUCUCUUAUAC
rnacentral:rRNA from 1 species